rnacentral:misc_RNA from 1 species
AACGCAUCUUGCGCCUUUUGGUAUUCCAAAAGGCACACCUGUUUGAGUGUCAUGAAACCCUCUCAUUAAAACAUUUUUAUUAAUGUCUUUUUAAUGGAUGUUGAGUGUUGCUGUUAUUAGCUCACUUUAAAUAUAUAAGUCACAUUUCAAUAAGUUGGAUUGACUUGGUGUAAUAAUUUUAUCAUCACAUCAAGGAAAGUAGCAAUACUGCCAUCUUGUUUUUGAAGGGAGACUCCUAAACACCCCCCUUUUAAACAUUAAGACCUCAAAUCAGGUGGGGCUACCCGCUGAACUUAA